rnacentral:rRNA from 1 species
AUGGCCACAAACCCCGGCCUCUUCAGCGAGUGGCCAUGGAAGAGGCUUGGCAGCUUCAAGUACGUGGUGCUGGCGCCAUGGGUGGCGCACGGCAUCCAGCAGGUGGCGAGCAAGGGGUGGCGCGAGGCGGACCUGGGGUACCUGGUGAUCCUCCCGUCGAUGAUGCUCCGGGCGCUCCACAACCAGGCCUGGAUCACGGUGUCCCGCCUCCAGAACGCGCGCGGCAAGCGGCAGAUCGUCGACCGCGGCAUCGAGUUCGAGCAGAUCGACCGCGAGCGCAACUGGGACGACCAGAUCAUCCUGAGCGCCAUCCUCUUCUUCCUGGGCGCGCUGCACCUGCCGGGCGGGCAGGACCUGCCGCUGUGGAGGACGGACGGCGCGGUGCUGAUCGCGCUGCUGCACGCCGGCCCCGUGGAGUUCAUCUACUACUGGUUCCACCGCGCGCUGCACCACCACUUCCUCUACACGCGCUACCACUCGCACCACCACGCCUCCAUCGUCACCGAGCCCAUCACCUCCGUGAUUCAUCCAUUUGCCGAGCUGGUGGCCUACGAACUGCUCUUCUCGAUCCCGAUGAUCGCCUGCGCUCUGACAGGAACUGCGUCCAUCAUGACGUUUGAGCUCUACAUGCUCUACAUCGACUUCAUGAACAACAUGGGCCACUGCAACUUCGAGCUGGUGCCCACCUGGCUCUUCACAUGGUUCCCUCCUCUCAAGUAUCUCAUGUACACACCAUCGUUCCAUUCUCUCCACCACACCCAGUUCCGGACAAACUACUCUCUUUUCAUGCCGUUCUACGACUACAUAUACAACACAAUGGACAAGUCGUCAGACACGCUGCAUGAGAAAUCAAUCGAGGACAAGGAGGAGGCCGUAGAUGUGGUUCACCUCACCCAUCUCACCAGCCUGCAGUCCAUCUACCACAUCAGGCCCGGGUUCGCCGAGUUCGCCUCCAGGCCGUACGCCUCAAAGUGGUACAUGCGGAUCAUGUGGCCUCUCUCGUGGCUCUCCAUGGUCCUCACGUGGGCGUAUGGAUCUUGGUUCACCGUUGAGAGGAAUGUCAUGAAGAAACUCAGAAUCCAGUCUUGGGCCAUACCAAGAUACAGUUUCCAUUAUGGACUGAACUGGGAGAAGGAAGCAAUUAAUAACCUGAUUGUGAAGGCAAUAUGCGAAGCUGACAAGAAGGGGGCUAAAGUUGUUAGUCUUGGCCUCCUGAAUCAGGCACAGAGCCUCAACGGAAGUGGAGAACUUUAUCUACAGAAGUACCCAAAGUUGAAGUUAAAACUGGUGGAUGGAAGCAGUCUAGCUGCUGUAGUGGUUGCCAAUAGCAUCCCCCAAGGCACGGAUCAAGUUGUUCUUUCAGGAAACAUUUCCAAGGUGGCCUGUGCUGUGGCUGCAGCUCUGUGCAAGAAAAAUAUCAAGGUGAUAAUAACAAACAAGCAAGACUAUCAUUUCCUUCAGCCGAAAAUACCAGAAGAUGCAGCUGACAACCUUUUACUGUCGAAUACCGGCAUUGCCAAGGUGUGGAUAAUCGGAGACGGUGCAGAUGCCAGCGAACAGCUCAGGGCGCCGAAAGGAACACGGUUCAUCCCGUACUCACAGUUCCCACCAAGAAUGGCACGCAAGGACGGCUGCACAUACUCGACGACUCCAGCGAUGAGCGUGCCUAAAACACUGCAGAAUGUUCAUUCGUGCGAGAACUGGCUGCCAAGGAGGGUGAUGAGCGCGUGGCGCGUCGCGGGGAUCGUCCAUGCGUUGGAGGGAUGGGACGAGCAUGAGUGCGGGGACACGGUGCUCGACAUGGACAAAGUUUGGUCUGCUGCACUGCUGCAUGGGUUUCGCCCCGUCGCCGAAGCUUGA